UCUCCACGUGUUCGCUGCAAAAAGAGCAGUGUAAGCUCCGAUUGAUGUGGAAAUGGCGCAACGCUUGACAUUGGCUUCGUCUGUUUGCGUUGCUAACAUUCCAGGAAUACCAACAACGCUCUCCAGGAAUGCUUGGCUGGGCGAGAACAAAAAAUGGAGGCAAAGUCCCAAACCCGGAGUGCCGCUGCGGCUCACAGUGCUAGACACGCUUGAAAAUUUUGUAGUUCGCGCUGAGAGCAGCGGUGGUGGUGGUGGUGGGGGUGAGCAAGGAACCAGCCAGUACGGGCUUGGUGGUCCUGGUUCCUUCUUUGGAUUUGGCAACUUUCAGGAGCGGCUAGUUGGGCGAUUCGCUAUGGUUGGCGUUGUGGCGGCUCUGGUAAUGGAAGUUGUGACGGGAAAAGGGAUUUUCGGACAACUUGGACUUGAUCCACUCCGAGUUCGCUAUCCAGUUCUGUUGGGAUUCACAUUCUUACUGGUGGCAGGCCUUGUUGGCGGCUACGUGGUGAUAAACAAUCCCCCCGACGAGUCCAAAGCUCCGCCGAACGAAGGAGCCGGAGUUCCCCGUGAUCCAUUAAAAACUUUUGAUCCGAAAGACAUGGACAGGCUGCCGACGUAUACUCGUGGAGGUGUUGUUGAACGCCCAGACGGACAGAGGGGACGAGAACCAUAUGUGUCGGACCUGGACGUUAAAGAUUAGAAAAACUAUCCGUUCACCAAUAUUACAAGAAAUGAGAUCCACAUGACAAAAUGUUACUCUUUUGUGUGGAGUAAAGGUAAGAUUUUCCAGAAGGUAGUAUUCCUUUCUCUCUUUUUUUCCCUCUUCAUUCCCCCAUGGCGGAGCUGGCUGAGGAGCAGGUCUCUGAGCUGAAGGAAGCAUUCAGCCUGUUCGACAAAGACGGCGAUGAGCGCAUCACCACUCGCGAGCUCGGGGCCGUGAUGAAAUCCCUUGGCCUGCAUCCAACGGAAGUGGAGCUGCAAGAUAUGAUAGACGAGGUUGACAAGGAUAAGAGCGGCACAGUGGAGUUCCCCGAGUUCGUCGCCCUCAUGGCUCGCAAGAUAAGAGGUGCCGAGUGCGAGGAGGAGCUCAAGGAGGCAUUUCGCGUGUUCGAUCGCGAUCAGAAUGGCUACAUUAGCGCCGUGGAGCUCCGCCAAGUGAUGGCGAGCAUGGGAGAGAAGCUGGGACAAGAGGAGCUGGAGGAGAUGAUGCGAGAAGCGGACAUAGAUGGUGAUGGGAACGUCAACUAUGUAGAAUUUGUCAAGAUAAUGACCAUGUGUAAUUAGUUAGCCUAAA